rnacentral:rRNA from 1 species
UACGUAGGGUGCGAGCGUUAAUCGGAAUUACUGGGCGUAAAGCGUGCGCAGGCGGUUUUGUAAGCCAGAUGUGAAAUCCCCCGGGCUCAACCUGGGAAUUGCGAUGGAGACUGCAAGGCUAGAAUCUGACAGAGGGGGGUAGAAUUCCACGUGUAGCAGUGAAAUGCGUAGAGAUGUGGAGGAACACCGAUGGCGAAGGCAGCCCCCUGGGUCAAGAUUGACGCUCAUGCACGAAAGGCGUGGGGAGCAAACAGG